AGUGAACGCUGGCGGCGUGCCUAAUACAUGCAAGUCGAACGGAAUUUAAAAGAGCUUGCUCUUUUAAAUUUAGUGGCGCACGGGUGAGUAAUAUAUAGCUAAUCUGCCCCUUGCUGGAGGACAACAGUUAGAAAUGACUGCUAAUACUCCAUACUCCUUUUUACCAUAAGAUAAAUCGGGAAAGAAUUUCGGCAAGGGAUGAGACUAUAUCGUAUCAGCUAGUCGGUGGGGUAACGGCCUACCGAGGCUAUGACGCGUAACUGGUCUGAGAGGAUGAUCAGUCACAUUGGAACUGAGACACGGUCCAAACUCCUACGGGAGGCAGCAGUAGGGAAUAUUGCGCAAUGGGGGAAACCCUGACGCAGCAACGCCGCGUGGAGGAUGACACUUUUCGGAGCGUAAACUCCUUUUGUUAGGGAAGAAUAAGAC
rnacentral:rRNA from 1 species